GAUGAAGAACGCAGCGAAAUGCGAUAAGUAAUGUGAAUUGCAGAAUUCAGUGAAUCAUCGAAUCUUUGAACGCACAUUGCGCCCCUUGGUAUUCCGAGGGGCAUGCCUGUUCGAGCGUCAUUACACCACUCAAGCUAUGCUUGGUAUUGGGCGUCGUCCUUAGUUGGGCGCGCCUUAAAGACCUCGGCGAGGCCACUCCGGCUUUAGGCGUAGUAGAAUUUAUUCGAACGUCUGUCAAAGGAGAGGAACUCUGCCGACUGAAACCUUUAUUUUUCUAGGUUGACCUCGGAUCAGGUAGGGAUACCCGCUGAACUUAAGCAUAUCAAUAGCGGAGGA
rnacentral:misc_RNA from 1 species